CUACGGAGGGUCCAAGCGUUAUCCGGAUUCAUUGGGUUUAAAGGGUCCGCAGGCGGGAAAAUAAGUCAGUGGUGAAAGCCUACAGCUCAACUGUAGAACUGCCAUUGAUACUGUUUUUCUUGAGUAUGGAUGAAGUGGGCGGAAUAUAUCAUGUAGCGGUGAAAUGCAUAGAUAUGAUAUAGAACACCGAUUGCGAAGGCAGCUCACUAAACUAUUACUGACGCUCAGGGACGAAAGCGUGGGGAGCGAACAGGAUUAGAAACCCUAGUAGUCC
rnacentral:rRNA from 1 species